CGCGACUCCGGAGCGCGGCAUCCGCGUCGUGUACCUGAAAUAUUAACCCGGGAGAAAAGGGUGGGAGCGGGGAGGAUUCGGGUUUCCUCAUCUGGGUUUGGCCAAGGAGAUCAGGACAUGGCGGACAUCGGGGGCAAUACGGCGGCCGUCCAAGCCACCAACGACGAUGCCUCCGCCAGUAAAUUAUCUUGUGUUAAGAAGGGAUACAUGAAAGAUAAUCACAUUCAAUUAUUCGUCCGAAGACCCAUCCGGAGAUCCCCAAUAAUCAAUCGUGGUUACUAUGCACGAUGGGCUGCUCUGAGGAAGCUUAUGUUUCAAUUCUUGAACUCUGGACAUGGUAAAGACGCUGAAAGCCACGCCAAAAAACAGAUUGUCUCUCUUGGAGCUGGCUUCGAUACGACCUUUUUCCAGCUUCGGGAGGAUGGUAAUGCACCUGAUCUAUAUGUGGAGCUGGAUUUUAAGGAGGUAACUAGCAAGAAAGCUGCAAUUGUGGAGUCCUCUAAACAACUAAGAGACCACCUUGGGGAAGAGGCAUCUAUUUCACAUGAGAGAGGGGAAAUAUUAAGUGAACAUUACAAGCUUCUUCCUGCUGAUCUCCGGGACAUCAAACAAUUAGAUCCUGUCCUGGAGAAAGCUCAGCUGGAUUGUAGCUUGCCCACAUUCAUCAUUGCAGAAUGUGUUCUAAUUUACUUGGAUCCAGAUGCUACACGUGCUGUAGUUGGUUGGUCUUCAAAGACAUUCUCCAGUUCUAUAUUUUUCCUAUAUGAGCAGAUUCAUCCAGAUGAUGCUUUUGGACACCAAAUGAUCAGAAAUCUCGAGAGCCGGGGAUGCCCUCUUCUAGGUAUUUAUGCAACACCAACUCUAGAAGCAAAGGAAAAGCUUUUUCUUGAUCAAGGGUGGCAGAGAGCUGUUGCUUGGGAUAUGCAGAAGGUCUACAGUAAUUUUAUUGAUGUCCAAGAGAGACGAAGGAUCGAGCGGCUGGAGAUAUUUGACGAAUUUGAAGAGUGGCAUAUGAUGCAGUAUCUGCACUGUGACUUGGGUCCGAGUGCUUACCAGGUUUGAAGGACUCCACACUGGUCUGGAAAUUCCCAAUGAAAUUAAGGCUUCCUAGUGGAGAUCAUGGAGUACCUCGUGCCUGAAAUUAGAGGCUUUGGCAUAGCCUAGGAAGACCCAAAGAACAUUAUUGUGUGGCCUACGCGAUCAACGACGCUGAGGGCAUCUUCGAGGGAUUUGGCUUCACAGGCAAUCAGGAAGCCUAAAAUAUGCUUGGGUUGAUGAGUUGGGAUGAAAAUAACCGGGUUGCUCUCUCUCUUUCUCUCUCUCAUAUUCUCAGUCACGAAAAAUUGCUGCUUGAUUUUGGUUGGGGAUGGUGUUUGGAAGAUUGUUGUUGAUUUUGUAGUGGCUGACGCUUGUGCAAAGUAAGUGUUGGAUGCUUCGAUGAUGUCUUUUUUAA